CACCAGCUAUAUAAUAGUGCACUUUAUAGGUAGCAGCUUCUGUAGUUUGGCCUUUCACCUUUGAACCCUCAUCAUUUCAACACAGAAGGGUCUUGACAGGAUUUUGUCUCCAUUUUCUGUUAAAAUAGUUGCCUUUGUGGUGUCAUGGAGAGAGUUGUUUUAGGAAAUGCAUCAGCCAAAAUAACCCUUUUUUUUUCAAAUUUCAUGUCCUUCAUAUUUCUGUUAAAAAUAUAUGUAGUUGUCUGUUGCUUACAUAUGUAGUACAUUUACAUGUUUAAUGUGUCUAGGCCAUACAUGUGCAAAAGAAUCAGCAUGAGUCAAUACCAUUGUUGAUGUAACAUUUUACAGAAAUGCUGUACUAUUAUUUCGUGUGUCCAAAAUUAAUCACUACCAAAUAAACACAAAGUGCCUCCAACCAUGUGAUGACCUAUAUAACAGCUCAGCCACUCUAAGCAUAUGACAUCAGUUUGUUCAAGCAGUAAUUAUGAUGCAUGAUUCUUAGAAAGCACUUUUCGUUUUCGGAUGAAUAAUGAACUGGCAGACUUAAUCCAUGCAGUCCUUAUGGUUUAGGACAAAGACAAGUAGACAUCCCUGCAUUGUUGCUUUCAGCAGCAAUGAAUUUUUUUUUUAUCUGUUGCCUGCAAAUAUAAUGUUCACUAUGCUCCAGUCUUCAGAAACCAUUUAUCCUUAUGCUUGAACCUACUGUUGUUAUCAAGCACAUUGUUUGGUGUUCAAAAUUAAGAUUACUAACUUUAUUACACUGUGUUAAAAAGCUUGCAUUUUAAGUUGUACUAUGAUGAAAUGGAAAAAAAUUCCCAACUUUCCUUACACUCAUAGGCUAGUAAGCAUCUGCUUCGAGUUUUCCAGGCAGUAAAUAAUAGCAGAUAUAAUUAUCAUAAUGUAUUAACUUCAUAUUUUUACAAUGCUGAUACUAAAAUUUCUUAACACACAACAUAAUAAUUUGAGUCAAUCGGGCGCUGGCAUGGGGACAGACACCUAGUGAAACUGCCAACAGCAUAGGAAGACAGUCAAGCAGACAGCAAUAAUACAUCCUGAUAUGAAGGUCAGCUUGUUAGACCUAGGGAAAUAUGUUGCUUUAACCUCUAGAACAUGCUGCACAUGCUGAAUGUGACUGUCACAUUUCAGGAUCCACGCAUACAAAGGGAAACAACUUCAGUUCAAGCCACUAUACUUCCUAGAGGGGAGGGAAGGGCUGGGACUUGCACAGUCUCAAGAUCUGCCCCUUUCACUGAUGGAUCAAAAUGCCUUAAAGGAAAAUACAUCUUCACAAGAACUACAAAAAAGAAAACAAUAUUGGCAAUUAAUAUUGAUAAUAUGUUACUGAAGCUUAAUGCUUUGUAAACAUACAAGAAUGUUAUAUGCAGAAUAUAGGGAGGCAGCAAGCAGGACAAAACUGAAGACUUAAAAGCUUCAGUUAUCCUCAAUCCCAUUAGAUGGCUUUGACACUGAUUUCAAGUGACUUGAUAGCAGGAGAGAGAUUGCUUAUUGAGGCCAAGGGUAACUGUGUAACAAGGCCUUCUUAUAAAAUUUGAGUGUCCGUUUAUGUCUCACCAAAUGACAUGAAACAGCCCAUGCACUACUACUCUAAUGAAUUUAAGUGAUGUUGAGGUGUGCACUAGUGUCAAAAGUCAUCAAGAAAUCAGACUCUCAAAAAACAUACAUAUAUAGUUUUACAUGUCUAAAACUGGUUCUAAUAAAGCAUUUGGACAACCAGGAUUAUAUUAACCUGUACACUGAUAUAGACUUUUCUGUGAAAAAUUAAAAAAAACUAAGCAAUCUGAAAACAACUUAAUCUUAAAUGGACAGAAUAGCAACUGAAACACUGGUCCCUAAACAGAACUGUGUGAAGACUGUCCUUAAAAGUCGGAAAAACAUUUCAGGUCAGCUUCUAGUUUGUGAACAUAACAAUCAAAAUCCCAAUGGAUAUUUUCAACUAGGUGACUCUAAAGACCCUAAACUUUAAUCACACUCAUAACUCUCAUUGAAAGGAAACUUCACAAUUAAAGAGUAAUAUUAAUACCAUACUUCUCUGAAAAUAAGCCCCAGAAUGAUUAUUUUAAAGGAUGCUUGUGAUACAAGUCUUACCUCAAAUAUAAGCAGCCCUAGUUAAGAUCAUCAGCCAGACAGAUUUUGCGCACGUUAAAACACAUGAUGGACGAACUGAAUUUAAAGUAAUGAUAUUAAUGAAUAAAUAGUAUAUCAAUACUUAAAAUAAAUGAUAAUAUAAAUUAUAGUUAAGUCUUUGUAAAUGCCAAGCAGGUGCAGCUGGAUGAGAGAUAUACACCUACGCAUAAAUGAAGUCACAAGAAAUUCAGGCUGGGUUUGGAGAAUUAUAACGAUGUUCCAGAAGAUUAUCAAAUUAAAAUAAAUGUAGAUUUCUGUACACGAAAAAAUAGCAUCCCUUGAAAAUAAGCCCUAGCAUCUCUUUGGAACAAACAUUAACAUAAAACCUGGUCUUAUUUUGGGGGAAACAUAAUAGCAACCAAAGAAAAAGGUGUCAGCUUUUCUUAUUUCUGUAGUUUUCUCAUCAUUGUUAUAGCUAAUUCUUUGUUACCAUAAUUAAUUAUUUUGCAACUCCUUGGAUCUAUGGAGAUAUAUUAUUUUGAUCAACUCAAUUUUCAUGCUCACUUCUUGAUUUGACUGUCAUGUAACAUCUGUGGUAUCUGAGAAGUGGGCUUAUGAACUGUGUUUAAGGAGAUUCAGGAACUACAUGUACAGAGAUUAGAAGGAUGUCCCUUUGUAUAAUAUAUACUGUAAAUAAUGGUGACACCUUUUCGUCUUUUGGAUACAAAGACGUAUUUGAUUUAGUACAACAUAUAUUAGGUUAAAGGUUUUACUACAAGCCUUAGGCUAUUUGUUUGGAGACUUCAUCUUGCUGUUAAAUACAGUAAUCCCUCGCCACUUGACGCUUCACUAUUUCGCGGCUUUUUAUAAGAAAUUAAUGGGAAAAAUUAUUCGGGUAUCUAUGCUUCUUCGUGGAUUUUCUGCAAAAUUCGAUCAGAAGAAAAAAUACAUAUUUUAUGAAUUUUUAGAUAAAAAAAAGCUCAUACUGUAUAAAAAUAUAUUACUAAUAUUAAUUCUAACAAUAAAGAAAUAUUAAAAAGAAUAAUAUUACAGUAUAAAGCCUUAAUAUAGUGUAUUAAUAAAUAUGCCAUUCCUAUUUCGCAGAUUUUCAGUAAUUGGGGGUGGUUUUGGAACACAUCUCCGGCGAUAAACGAUGCAUCACUGUAUAAUGAGCUUUGGAUUAGGGUUAGCUCACCUAUUUGGACAAAUUGCUCACCAUUAACGCACUGGACCCACCUACCCUAUUUACAAUUGUGAUUCCACCAUUUAAUAUGUCAGCAGUGAGUGACCAAUUUUAUGACAACUAUGGAUAUGAUCUGAACCUAUUGUGUUAUUUUAUCUGGUUAUUCUUGUAACAAGUACAUGGUAAAAUUAUUAGAGGUAUAUUACUUUUCUUGUUAUGGGACAUGAUGUACAUGAACUAUCAAACAAAAUCUCCAACAACUUUGACAAUACAGUUUAGUAGCAAGAGUCCCCAACUUCAACUGAGUUGAUUUCUGUUGCUAACUUUUCCAGAUGUGAUUUUAUUAUCAACUUACAAUCUAUUACUUUGAGCGAAUCAUGUCAGUGAGGCAAGACAGUGAAACAGUUGUACUCUUGAUAGGUUGGCAGCUCACCAUCAGCAAGGGGAUAAAAAAAAAUUGUGGUUGUGCCAGGAACUCUCCCAUUCCCUCUCCCCUCUUACAGUUACUAUGCAUGCUGCCUCCCUUUUCUCCCACACUUUUUUGCUCUCAAAUUAUGACAUUAUCAAAAUUUGUUGUGUGUACAUGUUCAUAAAAAUUUCUUAGCUAAUAUUUUUUCCAUCUGGAAUUAUCAGUAACAUAAUUAAAAAAAAACACAGCCUAGAACAACAUGCACAACCAAAACACUGCCUAUGACCUCACA
rnacentral:lncRNA from 1 species